UACAGAGGGGCGAGCGUUGUUCGGAAUUACUGGGCGUAAAGGGCGCGUAGACGGCCUGCUAAGUCGAACGUGAAAUCCCUGGGCUCAACCCAGGAACUGUCGUCCGAUACUGGGUUGGCUUGAAUCCGGGAGAGGGAUGUGGAAUUCCAGGUGUAGCGGUGAAAUGCGUGAGAUAUCUGGAGGAACACCGGUGGCGAAGGCGACAUCCUGGACCGGUAUU
rnacentral:rRNA from 1 species